AGGAGGGGCGGGGCCGUUCCGAGGAGCAAAAACCACCGUGACAAUAGAACAUAAGAACAUAAGAAAGCUUACAAACGAGAGGAGGGCAUUCAGCCCAUGUUGCUCGUUUGGUUGUUAGUAGCUCAUCAAGCAGCUUCUUGAAGGAUCCCAGGGUCUCAGCUUCAAGUGAAGCGAGUUAGAGACUGAAAGGCAGGCGAGGGAGUGUGUAGCUGUGUGUCACGGGUGUAGCGGAGGGAUAAAAACUGCGCAAUUUCAAAUCAGGUCCGCUUCUGUUUUCUUCCUUGAGAAAAGACAAAACAAAAAAAAAACCUACCUAUUUGGAAACAGGGAGGUGCUUCGGUCGUGUUUGGGAUGCAGUUAUAUUAAACGUGAACAAUAUAACUGUUAAAAAAAGCGAAAUAUGUAUAUUUUUGGCGAGACAGUGCUGCUGUUGUUGUUAUUGCGGUUGCACGUUUGCAGUGAAGUUAUAACAUAACUUAUAUUUCCAGCAGAAGUGGAUUGCGCACAAAAGAAGAAAUAAUGUUAAAGAAAAUCGUUCGAUUCGUUGGCUGCGGAUCGUCUUACAUAAUUUGGUUGCAAUUUCAGACUGCGUUGCUGAAUGACUGUCAAUCAGCAGAAUACAACUGGAGUCGGCAUUGUUAUUUUAAAGCUGCAGAGAAAAUAUACGGAUAUAUUUGUAUUUACAUCAAUAUAUUGCGUGGCGUAACAACAUAUCGCCACCCACAAACAAGAGAAUGGAGCAGGAUCUCACGGAGCAGCCAAUCGGAGGGGAGAGGAGGCUUGUAUCUGGGCGGAUUUGCUUCAGAGCAGGAGGGAGGAUUCAUGGAGUUCAGUGGGCGUGUCACUGCGGGUGGGCGGGGCCUCCAUUGUAUUUUCUCCCCAGAUUCUCAGAAGUUUUGCCGGAUAUUUUCAGAAAGAAACCACAACUUGAGUAAGAGAUCUGGUGUUUGUUCCACACACAGUAUUGUUUACUUAGUGCGCUAGCUGAGAGCUAGGUUUCUUUUGUUUGUUUUAUUAGCGGUUGUUUUGCCAGCGCGGUGUGACAAAAAUAAAAGCAACACAGGUUUCAAGACUCCAGCCUGAUCAUUUACACUGUCCUCGACCACAAUCAGCACAAGCGAGCCAUCAGCAGUUUAAAUAGAGUAUAUACAUGUCAAUGGUGCUCAAUCACUGAGGACAGUACAUCAAAACAAGUCCUGGUGGGUAAACAGCUUGUUAUAUGAUCACAAUCAUGUUCACUCAAGGCAGCAGAAUCCUAUUUAACUGCAGUGUACUUGAGAAGCGAUCGUCUCGUGAGGGUGCCUCGUUUAACAGCUUCAUACCAGGAGGUUCAGAUCCCGGCUCAGCCAUUGACUCCCUGUGUGUGUGUGUGUGACCCUGAGCAAGUCACUGAACCUCCUUGUGCUCCGUCCUUCGGAUGAGACGUAAAACAAACGAGCUCCAAUUGGAAUUGACUGCAGCAGCAGCAGUUGAUGCAUAGUUCACCCCCUAGCCUCUAACAGGAUGCUGGUUGGAGGGAGUGGGUCUUGGACCUCCCUGCAAAGGAUCAUUGGUAGAUCUCCCAGAAUUCAAUGCUGAAGAUUUCCCAAGAGCUGUCAAGGUAAGUCCUGGGUUUAAUUCUCAUGAUCAGAAACAAUGUCUGACCCAUUUUCAAAUGGCUCCAAUACUGUAAAACAGGACCGGCAUUUUGUCUUGUUAUGAACAUGUUUGCAGUUCUGGCUUUUGUCCAUAAGGUGGGGAUAGCGAGCUGAUAUUCGCUGCACUGAUCCUAGGUGUAAAGCAGCUGUAAAGAAAGCAGGCUUUUUUGCGGUUAUUAAUGUAAUGUGAUCAUUAAUCGAUUUUUAUUUUUUUAAAUUAGUAUUCACAGUGUUUAUUAACUACACAUAGUCUAAUUAUCUUAAAGAUUUCUUGAUUUGAGGUUAUUUGCGUAGAUGUGGUGUUUUUAAACCCAGAGAGAGAAGCAAUUCUUUAAAAUAUAAAUGCUUCAUUUUGCGGAUGUCUCACUGUGUGCAUAUUUAAAGCAGCUGAUGUUUGCACUGUGUGUAUACUGAUGACAAACUGAAUGGAGUAAUAAUGCUAAUUGUGCAGCAUGUACAGCUCUAGAUAAGUGCUGCAUCACCCUCUAUAGAGAAUGAACUGAUUCUGCUUCAUAAAGUGGAAUGAAACUUGCUGAAUAAUGUUACCGUAAGAUAUUGAAUCACACACCACUUUGUAGUUACCAAAAUGGAAUUAUGUGACAUUUGGAAAUCUAACAUGAAAUACUACUGUACUGCUAUUAUGGCUUCCGGUAGAGUUUUAUCCCAGUCCUAGGGUUAGAUCAUUUCAAUAACAGGCUUCAUUGAGGGGAGCUCUGAACCCCAGGACUGGGUGCAACAGCAGGGCUAGUGUGAGUUUGUAACCCUGCUCAAACUCCUGGCUCCUGAUCAUUUCAAUAACACAUCUAUACAAAGGGAGCUCUGAAAAGGGCCAAUGUGAGCUUCAAGCUUGCCGCAUGAUUGCAAAGGUGUGUGAAUCAAGCUGAGGGAGGGGGCUGUACCAGGGUGAGGUCACACAGGAAGCAGGGGGUGACAGGGCAGCGAGGCUGUCAAUCACUCUCUCACACACGCCUCUGCACUGACCACAUCAAAGGGAGUGUGCUGUGAGUGGGGGGGCAUUACGUCAA